rnacentral:lncRNA from 1 species
AUGGUGUUUUCCUGGUCUCGGCGGCCUAUUUGGGAGCUGUUAACUAAGCGGGCGCUCUUAGUUCCCACGGAGACGGUCGCUGUACGAGCAAGCUUAUUCCCAUCUGGAUUUUGGAAAAUGGCUGAAGCUACUUUUUAUCUAGUACCUGCCAAGACCAUCUCCCAAGGGGAUUUUUCGCAGCAACUGGCACACUGCAGCAUUUGCAGGAAAGCUUUCGGUGCGCUGGCGUCGCGGCGUGGGCAGGUCCCUCUGCACCCGGCCACGCUGCAGGCAAGCGGAGCGCUUCUUGGCCAUUUCCAAAGUGAAGGAAAAUGGCUAGUCCGGAUGUCUCCAAGCUCCUCCGUCCAGCCUGUACGUCUCUGCCUCUGUGCUCUUUAUUCAUGUGGAGGACGGGAAGAGAAGCAAUUGCAAGAAGAGUGUUUGCUGAUAAUUGCAUUUCCUGAGGAACGCUGGGAAACCUUCUCCGGCCGCGCUUCCCCGUCAGUCUUCAGUGCCGUUUCCACCUGGACGUGCACCGCGGGAUUCGCAUCAGAAGAUGCUGCUGGGAAACAGUUCACUGGAGGUCUCGCGGUGGUGACGAUCCCAACGCUAAACAUCUCUGUUCGACUCGGGGACGGGGGGGAAACGCACCCGCCUUCACCCAAACAUGCGGCUCUUCCUCGGGGAUGGAGCGGUGAUUUGGGAUAGGGUAUUCCUGUAAUCGCGCAGCCAGCUUUGCUCUAGGAUGAAGGCAGUUCGGGUAAGGACCUGACUCCUUGUAGCCGAUCUCGUAGAGAUCUUCUUGUAGAGAUCCCCCCGCGCUUCUGCCUGCUGGUGCUGACGGGCGCUUUAAAGCCCCCUGACCGCGACCGAGCCCUAGUUAAGGAUUUCAGGACCUUCUUUACAUCGUCCCCCCGAUGCACGUACUGCUCAGACAUCUGUCCUCCCUACUAAUAAAGUAGCCGAGAUUUAAAAUGGACUUCA